GUUUUUGGUCAAACUUCCUUGUCAAAGCCUGAUCUCGUCAGAUCUCAGAUGCUAAGUAGGUCUGGACUUGGUUAGUACUUGGAUUAGUACCAUAGACU
rnacentral:rRNA from 1 species